rnacentral:rRNA from 1 species
UGCGCCUUGCCAGCCCGCUCAGAAACUUAAAGGAAUUGACGGGGGCCCGCACAAGCGGAGGAGCAUGUGGUUUAAUUCGAUGAUACGCGAGGAACCUUACCUGGGCUCGAACGUAAGAUGACUGUAGGUGAAAGCUUACAUCUCUUCGGAGCAUUUUACGAGGUGCUGCAUGGUUGUCGUCAGCUCGUGCCGUGAGGUGUCGGGUUAAGUCCCAUAACGAGCGCAACCCCUACCUUUAGUUGCCAUCAGGUUAAGCUGGGGACUCUAAAGGAACUGCCUACGCAAGUAGUGAGGAAGGCGGGGAUGACGUCAAAUCAGCACGGCCCUUACGUCCAGGGCUACACACGUGCUACAAUGGCCGAUACAGAGGGCAGCUACCUGGUGACAGGAUGCAAAUCUCCAAAGUCGGUCUCAGUUCGGAUCGGAGUCUGCAACCCGACUCCGUGAAGUUGGAUUCGCUAGUAAUCGCGCAUCAGCCAUGGCGCGGUGAAUACGUUCCCGGGCCUU